AUGGACUGGACCUGGAGGAUCCUCCUCUUGGUGGCAGCAGCUACAGGCGCCCACUCCGAGGUCCAGCUGGUACAGUCUGGGGCUGAGGUGAAGAAGCCUGGGGCCUCCGUGAAAAUCUCCUGCAAGGCUUCUGGAUACACCUUCACCGACUACUACCUGCACUGGGUGCGACAGGCUCCUGGAAAAGGGCUUGAGUGGAUGGGACGUGUUGAUCCUGAAGAUGGUGAAGCAAUACACGCACAGAAGUUCCAGGACAGAGUCACCAUCACCAGGGACACGUCUACAGACACAGCCUACAUGGAGCUGAGCAGCCUGAGAUCUGAGGACACGGCCGUGUAUUACUGUGCAACAGACACAGUGUGA